rnacentral:lncRNA from 1 species
GUCGGUGGCCGAUUCUCCCCACCGGGCCGAGCUCCCCGCGGUGGAAGUCAGUUGAAUACGAAUCCGGCUUUGGGGACGGAUUUUAUGUUUCUGGGCCUCGUUUUCCUGGUGUGUGCGGUUUUAGAGCAUACGGUAAACGAAGCCUCUUGAGGCUCACUCGGGGGGUUCACAACGUGUGGGCCAGUGUGUGCUCCUGUCUGCACGAGGGUCACUGUUCUGUGUCAGGAACAGUCUUCCAGCCGGGCCGGGCCGGGCCGGGCCAGCAAAAUUCCCGGAGGCUCUGAUGUCCCUGCAGAGGCGCUGAGAGGCACCAGUAGGAAUCCAGCUCAGGCGUUGCUGGUCUGUCCGUAGUGCUGACGGGGGUCUCGGGGGGCCAGGGGCAGUGUGCCAGGAGCUCUCAGUGGAAGGGUGGGGAGGGUCAGGAAGGGCUUGAUGACCUCGGAAGGACCCUGAGAGUCCUGCUUUGCUUUCUCAGGUCCCUGCAAGGAGGCUCCCAAGGCAUUGGCCCCACGGAGCUGGUCUCUGCGGCCCAGGCAUCUACGUGGUGGUUUUGGACCCAGAUGGACGCCAGUAUUGUAUUGACCAUGCGCUACCAGUGACUUCACAUGGCGCAAACCUACACGCCCAACUCAAAAACCACACAGCACUCACGUUGGGGGACUCGCUGUGGUGACGUAGGUGCGUCAGGGAAUAAGGCAGACGCCACACGAAGGGACCUGGUGGCGGAGGGAAGUGUGAGUCCUGGUGGCAGCUCGGAGGAGGCGGCGUGACGCCUGCCCCAGGCAGGACUUUGCCCAGCCGUGAGUGAGUGCACGGCGCCCAGGGGAAGGGGCAGCCACAGGGGCCAGGACGGCGGUGAGCAUGAAGCCAUGGGACCACCCCUUGUGUUUUAGGGGAGCAGCGGCCUGGGGAGCGCGUGUUUGGGACUGAUGGCCAGGCGGGGUCUGAGGGAGGAGGGGAGGGCUGCCUUUCCUUAGCCCGUCUUUCUUCCCGUAAUCGGAAGUUCCGUUUCUGUAACCCAACGCUGAAUGUCCGAAUGAGAAUUCAGGGUGCUCUACGGGAGAGAAACGUGUGUCAGAGCUGAGACGCAAAUCUCACCUGUUUUAGGGGUUUUUCCCAAACAGGUUAAAAUUGGCACUUUUAACGAAAUCCU